CAUGGCCCGACAGACCAUGUCCUCAGCACAAUUAUGAAACUAGUAGCCUUUUUUGUUGUUGUUGUUCGUCCUUUCAAAGAAAACCUAAUACGGGUGCGGGUCGGUUGAUGUAUACUAGAAAAUAGUCUAUCCGUGAAUUUAGUGGAUGUAAGUCGGUUGUGCGCAAAGAACAAAAAAAAAAAACAAAGUAAAAGAUAACUUUUGUUAUCCGGUUUCUUGACUGAACACAAAAUACACAAUAUAUUAUUGUAAUUAGCAAAUUAAGGUCAAUAACUUUAUUGAAGGGCUUAUAUCAACCAAAAUAUCUAUACAGACAUAGAAAGAGGUACAUACAUAGAAAAAAAGGAAUAAUGCCAACAAAUGAUAUUGUACCAAUGGAACAAAUAAGUUCCAUGGUGUCGAAUGGUGGAGGAAGUGUAACAAUUCCCAAAGAUGAUGAUUAUCGGAAUCGUAUAUUAAAAAUUAAACAAAUUGGUAAGAAAAUUUAAUAUAAAUUUAACAUAAAUAUUUAAAA